CUCAGCUCACUGCAACCUCUGCCUCCCGGGUGGAAGCAAUUCCCCGCGUCAGCCUCCUGAGUAGCUGGGACAGGCCGCUGGUUGUCCCUUGCUCCUGGAAGGUCACCAUAUUGAUGCCAAACUCAGUGUGGAUGCCCAAUUGGUAGAGUGCACUACAGCCCAGAACUCAUGGACUCAAGUCAGCCUCCCAAGUCCCUGGGACUACAGAUUCCUGAAUGAUCCGGCGGCAUGGCAGAGGUGGUGCCUACUGAUAUGGCUCCGAUGACUGGAGGAACACCAGGGUCCUUGGUCUUGCGCCAAUGUAGGUGAGGCUCAAAGGAAGGUGGAAGAUGUGGAAGAGUUUAGAAUGUGUGCCGUUCUCUUCAAGGGGGAAGGAGUAUGACUGUUAUGCCCAUAGAAGGGCUGGGAGAACAAGGGGCCCUCACCGUGUGGAAGGAAGCACUCUAAAACGAAGUGACACCCAGCAACUCUCUGUCCUCUCAAGAAUGUUCUCCAGGGAGAACAAGACUUGACUGAUUCUUCAGAAGAGUGCUGCACCCAUUUUACAAGCGGACAAGCCAAGUCC
rnacentral:lncRNA from 1 species